UACAGAGGUCCCAAGCGUUGUUCGGAUUCAUUGGGCGUAAAGGGUGCGUAGGCGGCGCCGUAAGUCGGAUGUGAAAUCUCGGGGCUCAACCCUGAAACUGCAUUCGAUACUGCGGUGCUAGAGGACUGGAGAGGAAACUGGAAUUCACGGUGUAGCAGUGAAAUGCGUAGAUAUCGUGAGGAAGACCUGUGGCGAAGGCGGGUUUCUGGACAGUUCCUGACGCUGAGGCACGAAGGCCAGGGGAGCGAAACGGG
rnacentral:rRNA from 1 species